rnacentral:rRNA from 1 species
CGCUGAAGCACCAGCUUGCUGGUGUGGAUGAGUGGCGAACGGGUGAGUAAUACGUGAGUAACCUGCCCUUGACUCUGGGAUAAGCCCGGGAAACUGGGUCUAAUACUGGAUGCUACAUGUCACCGCAUGGUGGUGUGUGGAAAGGGUUUACUGGUCUUGGAUGGGCUCACGGCCUAUCAGCUUGUUGGUGAGGUAAUGGCUCACCAAGGCGACGACGGGUAGCCGGCCUGAGAGGGUGACCGGCCACACUGGGACUGAGACACGGCCCAGACUCCUACGGGAGGCAGCAGUGGGGAAUAUUGCACAAUGGGCGAAAGCCUGAUGCAGCGACGCCGCGUGAGGGAUGACGGCCUUCGGGUUGUAAACCUCUUUCAGCAGGGAAGAAGCCACAAGUGACGGUACCUGCAGAAGAAGCGCCGGCUAACUACGUGCCAGCAGCCGCGGUAAUACGUAGGGCGCAAGCGUUGUCCGGAAUUAUUGGGCGUAAAGAGCUCGUAGGCGGUUUGUCGCGUCUGCUGUGAAAGCCCGGGGCUUAACCCCGGGUGUGCAGUGGGUACGGGCAGACUAGAGUGCAGUAGGGGAGACUGGAAUUCCUGGUGUAGCGGUGGAAUGCGCAGAUAUCAGGAGGAACACCGAUGGCGAAGGCAGGUCUCUGGGCUGUUACUGACGCUGAGGAGCGAAAGCAUGGGGAGCGAACAGGAUUAGAUACCCUGGUAGUCCAUGCCGUAAACGUUGGGCACUAGGUGUGGGGGACAUUCCACGUUUUCCGCGCCGUAGCUAACGCAUUAAGUGCCCCGCCUGGGGAGUACGGCCGCAAGGCUAAAACUCAAAGGAAUUGACGGGGGCCCGCACAAGCGGCGGAGCAUGCGGAUUAAUUCGAUGCAACGCGAAGAACCUUACCAAGGCUUGACAUAUACCGGAUCGUUCCAGAGAUGGUUCUUCCCCUUUGGGGUCGGUAUACAGGUGGUGCAUGGUUGUCGUCAGCUCGUGUCGUGAGAUGUUGGGGUUAAGUCCCGCAACG